rnacentral:tRNA from 1 species
GUUUAUGUAGUUUAUUUAAAACAUUACAUUUUCAAUGUAAAAAUAAAAAUUAAUUUUUCAUAAAUA